rnacentral:rRNA from 1 species
AUUGAACGCUGGCGGCAGGCCUAACACAUGCCAGUCGAACGUGUGGCGGACGGGUGAGUACUGUCUGGGAAACUGCCCGAUGGAGGGGGAUAACUACUGGAAACGGUAGCUAAUACCGCCUACCAUCGGAUGUGCCCAGAUGGGAUUAGCUAGUAGGUGUGGUAACGGCUCACCUAGGCGACGAUCCCUAGCUGGUCUGAGAGGAUGGCCAGCCACCAAGGAAGUGAGACAGGGACCAGACUCCUGCGGGAGGCAGCAGUGGGAAAUAUUGCACAAUGGGGGCAGGCCGGAUGCCGCCAUGCCGCGUGUAUGAAGAAGGCCUGCAGGUGGUAAAGUACAAUUAGCGGGGAGGCGGUGACCGCAGAAGAAGCACAGGCUAACUCCGUGCCAGCAGCCGCGGUAAUAC